GCGGCUCAAGCAAUAAUACUAAAUAGGCUCUUAAAUUGUAUCCUCUCUUGAAUCCCACCUCCUCUCAAGUUCAAAUGGGAGUUACACAUUCCAUUAAAAAAAAAAAAUCUCAAUUACAAGCUCAUGAUUCAUGUCCACAAUUGCAAAGCAAUGCAUUCUGAGUGAAACCCAAACCAAGACAUAUUUAGUUAACAUAAAACGGUGUAAAAUGAUUGUAACUUAACACAGACAAGAUAAUACAAUGCAAUCAUUGGAGAAAAACCAAAAUGUCAAAAGAUUGGAACUUCAAAUUUAGGUGAGGUCAUCCUCCUCCAAUUCCUUAGCUUUCAGCUUCUCUUUCACCCUCAACAGAAGGGUCGUCUUCCAGGAAUCCAAUGGGGUCAUGCUGUCAAAUUCCUUGACGACAUCAGUAAACUUUGCAAUAUCUUCCUCAUCAAUAGCAGCAGCAAUAUCCGCUAGGAGUUUGUACUCUCGAGUUCCUGAAAAAGUUGGAUCCAAAUCCUGAUAUCGCUCUAAUGCAUUGGUUAUAGCAACAACAUCGCCUUUGCAGAGGUGACAAAUUCCAGCAUUAAGAAGAUGACCUUUGACUCCAUACUUAAGCAAGUUGUUGCUGAGAGACUGUCGGGCAAUCUCUUCAUAAAUCUCAAUUGCUUUCUGGUAUUGUUCUAGUUGAGCACCAAACUGGGCUACUUUCUGCUUGCAUUGGUUGGCAGAAGUUGUUACUUCUUCACCUUGGAA
rnacentral:misc_RNA from 1 species